UAUAAAACCAAUGGAAAAAAUCACACACUAAAUAAAAUAGCACGUAUUUGGUUUACUUGUCUCAUAUAUAUGAGACUCACUGUCUAUGUGAUGUUGACCGCACAGCCAAAGUAAAACUAACAGAAUCAGAAGAGAAUUCUAAGAAAAGCAAGAAAAGUGAUUGGACAUGCUUUGAGAUAAAAACAUGCCCAAUGAUUCCAGGGUAAGGGACAACUUUAGAAGAUACAAAUUGGCUUCCUGGUGAGCAGCGAUCUUCCUAAGUCCAUGGGGCAGUUGUUCCUCUCCUGCCCCAAACAUCACGUCUAGAGGAGGCUGCCAUUCUGAUUUGUUCAAGGUGUGGACACAAGACCCAUGUGACAGUGGAGGCCAAGGGUGAAAGGAGUUGCCGCUCAGAAGACAGCCGUCCAGGGAGCUGCCCCACCUGCUUUGGACUGUCAUGAAAACAACUGAUUCAUACUGGUGGUUUUCUCCUUACUCAUCAUUGAAUGGGAGAAGUUCUGUCCAGACCUGCUGUCCCUAAAUAAUCCAUAG
rnacentral:lncRNA from 1 species